rnacentral:lncRNA from 1 species
GUUUAAACAUUAAUACCACAGCUUAUCUGUUUCAUUCAGUCUAUUAUUUAUCCAGCCUUGACUAACCAUACCACUGCAUGCUUUUCACCCACAGCACUUAGUAUCCCACCCCGCGCAUAGAGUACUCUAUUGUUCUCUGUGGUCACUCACAGCUGACCACAGGUAUACCUUUGUUUGCUUGUUAUCUGAGGCAGUUGCCAGAUUACACUUGACAUAUGUACUCCAUAGUCAUUUUGUAUAUAUUUUGAAUGGAUCUUGUAUUCAUGGAUCGAAUAGAUGUGAUUAUUUCAUGGAUUUGAAGGUUAGUCAUAGUAUAUUUCUUGUGUGAUACCUUAUAUGUAUUUGUGUAUUUCUAAUUCUUAAAGUUAGAAAUAAGUUGUGCUUGGUUUAUUGCUAAUCAGGUUGUGUAUUGAAUCCACAGUUAGUGUAUUCUGAUCAUGAUUAUUUUAUAUGAUAAAGUAUUAUAAAGCAGUUUCUUUAAUUGAUAAAUAGCUAAUAUAUCCUAGGCUAUUAUCAUUUUAACUUGAACAUUAACUAAAUAAAACUAAACCCUAAAUAAACUGUAGUAAUUCUAUACCUCAUAUCACAUUAAGGUAAUUGUGUUAAUUGUGUAUAAGAAUGUAUGCGUAUGUGUGAAAGUGCAUUAUUUAAGUAAUUUGAUCAAUCCUUAUUUUAAAUACCUAUUUUACUUACGUGUUGUGUAUAAUUAAAGUGUAAAUAGUAUCUGCAUUAGUUUAUACCUUGUCAAUGCAGAUGUAACUGGCACUAUCUUAGAAGCUUUGGUGACACGGCACAGGUUUCACCAGUCUGGCCGUAUUUAUUCACCAUUCUCUUCUAAGAGAAUAAACAGCCAUCAGCUCACA